rnacentral:rRNA from 1 species
CCUACGGGCGGCAGCAGUGAGGAAUAUUGGUCAAUGGACGAGAGUCUGAUCCAGCCAAGUAGCGUGAAGGAUGACUUCCCUAUUGGUUGUAAACUUCUUUUAUAUGGGAAUAAAACAGGGUAUGCAUACCCUCUUGUAUGUACCAUUUGAAUAAGGAUCGGCUAACUCCGUGCCAGCAGCCGCGGUAAUACGGAGGUUCCGAGCGUUAUCCGGAUGUAUUGGGUGUAAAGGGAGCGUAGGUGGAUUGUUAAGUCAGUUGUGAAAGUUUGCGGCUCAACCGUAAAAUUGCAGUUGAAACUGGCAGUCUUGAGUACAGUAGAGGUGGGCGGAAGUCGUGGUGUAGCGGUGAAAUGCUUAGAUAUCACGAAGAACUCCGAUUGCGAAGGCAGUUCACUGGACUGCAACUGACACUGAGGCUCGAAAGUGUGGGUAUCAAACAGGAUUAGAUACCCGGGUAGUC